rnacentral:rRNA from 1 species
GAUGAACGCUGGCGGCGUGCCUAAUACAUGCAAGUCGAGCGAACAGAUAAGGAGCUUGCUCCUUUGACGUUAGCGGCGGACGGGUGAGUAACACGUGGAUAACCUACCUAUAAGACUGGGAUAACUUCGGGAAACCGGAGCUAAUACCGGAUAACAUAUUGAACCGCAUGGUUCAAUAGUGAAAGGCGGCUUUGCUGUCACUUAUAGAUGGAUCCGCGCCGUAUUAGCUAGUUGGUAAGGUAACGGCUUACCAAGGCAACGAUACGUAGCCGACCUGAGAGGGUGAUCGGCCACACUGGAACUGAGACACGGUCCAGACUCCUACGGGAGGCAGCAGUAGGGAAUCUUCCGCAGUGGGCGAAAGCCUGACGGAGCAACGCCGCGUGAGUGAUGAAGGUCUUCGGAUCGUAAAACUCUGUUAUCAGGGAAGAACAAAUGUGUAAGUAACUGUGCACAUCUUGACGGUACCUGAUCAGAAAGCCACGGCUAACUACGUG